rnacentral:lncRNA from 1 species
UCCAUUCGGAUCUGAGUGCCGGCGCAAAGGACUCGCAGCUCACUCCUCCCUUCAUUUCCCCACCGUUUCGUGAUAGUCCUUUAUGCAAUUUGAAUUUUUAGGGACAGUGUUGUCCCCUGGAGAGGCCGCGGGUGGAGGCUGGAGGCUGGGUACUCGGCCCCUUUAAAGAGGAGGGUUAAGCAGCGUAAGGGACUCGUCCCUGGAGAGGAAGCACUGUCCGUUGCUGAGGGCGUGGGUAGAGGACGAGAUGGAGUGAAUCCCAGCAUUUUCAAGGCAAGAAAGGACCCCGCAAAAUCGUUAUUUCUCUUGGAACAUCGAGAUGGAAAUCCAAAAGGAAGUUCAGGUCUCCGGCAUUUUCCUGCUUUCAAAACCGUCACAAAAGUGACCCCUCCGUCUCCAGAGGAAAGCAGCUUGAGGCAGCAUCUUCCUGAUCAAUAAGAAAAAGGAAUCUCAGCUCAUUGAAAUUUCUUCAAAGGGAGAGAAACUAUCAAUUUCGAAAAAUACCAGUACUGAGUUAUGGGGAGAUAUGAAAGAGAGAAAAAUCAGCAAGCAUUUCAGGAAAAAAAAAAAAAGCCUCAGAAGACAUUUCCUGAGACUUGAUAUUUGAGACUCAAAGAUUUCAAAAACAAACUUAAGGUUCCCGAAGGGGAAGUGUCAGCGAGGGAUCCGUUAGGAGGUUGGGACGACAGACACACGUUACUGUGUGUAAAUAGAUGAGUGACAGGGACGGGCUGUAGAGCAGCCUCCUCAGAGCCGUGCGAUAACCCAACGGGAAAAGAAUCUGAAAAGGGUGAAUAUUUGUAUAUGGAAACCUGAUGUACUUCGCUGCACACCUGAAACUAACACUCCUCUAUAGGUUAAGUGGUUAAGUACACACCAAGACAAUUUAAAAAAAAAAAAAAAAAAAAAAGAGUUGAUGUUUAAAAGACUGAAAACAGUGGAGCCUCCACCUCUAGGAUGGACUCCCUGGGCGGGGGUGGGCUCCCAGGUAAACCCAGAAGCACCAGCUUCUCCGACUCGCCCUUCUCUCUGGGCACCAGUAAAGCAGUGCUCGCACUUCCAGCUUACAAAGAAAACUUAAUGCCAGAAAGGAAGCCUAAUGUCAGUCUCUGCUCUUGCUGAGGAGGGUGACCGGCCCAAACGGGGCACCCAGAAGGAUUUGUCCCGUGGGGACACGUGACGCUAGCGGUGCUUGCCCUGACACAGGCAGGGUGGGCAGGUGGGCUCUAGGGAAGGGGCAGAAAGCAAGUGACAAGCCGUGUAGACCUUGUUUUCCAGCCGUGUGGGUACAGGGUGGACGCAGGAGGUGAAGAUGGCAAGAGUCCGGGAGUAAGGAUGGACUCUGAGCUGCGUUCCACCCCUGUGGGGGCGAGUUAUCCCGACUCCCCAUCAUCGGCCCGGCUGGCCCCACGCAGAGACCUUCCAGCAAGUGAGACGU